rnacentral:rRNA from 1 species
AUUGAACGCUGGCGGCAGGCUUAACACAUGCAAGUCGAGCGGGGUGAUGGUGCUUGCACUAUCACUUAGCGGCGGACGGGUGAGUAAUGCUUAGGAAUCUGCCUAUUAGUGGGGGACAACAUCUCGAAAGGGAUGCUAAUACCGCAUACGUCCUACGGGAGAAAGCAGGGGAUCACUUGUGACCUUGCGCUAAUAGAUGAGCCUAAGUCGGAUUAGCUAGUUGGUGGGGUAAAGGCCUACCAAGGCGACGAUCUGUAGCGGGUCUGAGAGGAUGAUCCGCCACACUGGGACUGAGACACGGCACAGACUCCCACGGGAGGCAGCAGUGGGGAAUAUUGGACAAUGGGGGGAACCCUGAUCCAGCCAUGCCGCGUGUGUGAAGAAGGCCUUAUGGUUGUAAAGCACUUUAAGCGAGGAGGAGGCUCUUUUGGUUAAUACCCAAGAUGAGUGGACGUUACUCGCAGAAUAAGCACCGGCUAACUCUGUGCCAGCCGCCGCAGUAA